CAUCCUCCAAGGCUAAAUACUCCUGACUGACCGAUAGUGAACCAGUACCGUGAGGGAAAGGCGAAAAGAACCCCGGCGAGGGGAGUGAAAAAGAACCUGAAACCGUGUACGUACAAGCAGUGGGAGCACCCUUCGGGGUGUGACUGCGUACCUUUUGUAUAAUGGGUCAGCGACUUAUAUUCUGUAGCAAGGUUAACCGAAUAGGGGAGCCGGAGGGAAACCGAGUCUUAACCGGGCGUUAAGUUGCAGGGUAUAGACCCGAAACCCGGUGAUCUAGCCAUGGGCAGGUUGAAGGUUGGGUAACACUAACUGGAGGACCGAACCGACUAAUGUUGAAAAAUUAGCGGAUGACCUGUGGCU
rnacentral:rRNA from 1 species